AUUGAACGCUGGCGGCAUGCCUUACACAUGCAAGUCGAACGGCAGCACGGGUGCUUGCACCUGGUGGCGAGUGGCGAACGGGUGAGUAAUACAUCGGAACGUACCUUAUCGUGGGGGAUAACGCAGCGAAAGCUGUGCUAAUACCGCAUACGCCCUGAGGGGGAAAGCGGGGGAUCGCAAGACCUCGCGCGAUUAGAGCGGCCGAUGCCUGAUUAGCUUGUUGGUGGGGUAAAAGCCCACCAAGGCGACGAUCAGUAGCUGGGCUGAGAGGACGAUCAGCCACACUGGGACUGAGACACGGCGCAGACUCCUACGGGAGGCAGCAGUGGGGAAUGUUGGACAAUGGGGGCAACCCUGAUCCAGCAAUGCCGCGUGAGUGAAGAAGGCCUUCGGGUUGUAAAGCUCUUUUGUCAGGGAAGAAACACCGGCUCUAACACAGUCCGGGAAUGACGGUACCUGAAGAAUAAGCACCGGCUAACUACGUGCCAGCCGCCGCGGUAA
rnacentral:rRNA from 1 species